UUAACACAUGCAAGUCGAACGAUGACCUCCAGCUUGCUGGGGUGAUUAGUGGCGAACGGGUGAGUAACACGUGAGUAACCUGCCCUUAACUCUGGGAUAAGCCUGGGAAACUGGGUCUAAUACCGGAUAUGACUCCUCAUCGCAUGGUGGGGGGUGGAAAGCUUUUUGUGGUUUUGGAUGGACUCGCGGCCUAUCAGCUUGUUGGUGAGGUAAUGGCUCACCAAGGCGACGACGGGUAGCCGGCCUGAGAGGGUGACCGGCCACACUGGGACUGAGACACGGCCCAGACUCCUACGGGAGGCAGCAGUGGGGAAUAUUGCACAAUGGGCGAAAGCCUGAUGCAGCGACGCCGCGUGAGGGAUGACGGCCUUCGGGUUGUAAACCUCUUUCAGUAGGGAAGAAGCGAAAGUGACGGUACCUGCAGAAGAAGCGCCGGCUAACUACGUGCCAGCAGCCCGCGGUAAUACGUA
rnacentral:rRNA from 1 species